AUUGAACGCUGGCGGCAGGCCUAACACAUGCAAGUCGAACGAGACGCGGGCGUGUGAGUAAUGUCUGGGACACUGCGUGGUGGAGGGGGAUCAGUAAUGGAAACUGUAGCCACAUCCGCACACCAUCGGAUGUGUCCAGAUGGGUUUAGCUAGUAGGUGGGGUAAAGGCUUACCAAGGCCACGAUCCCUAGCUGGUCUGAGAGGAUGACCAGCCACACGGGAACUGAGACACGGUCCAGACUCCUACGGGAGGCAGCAGUGGGGAAUAUUGGACAAUGGGCGCAAGCCUGAUCCAGCCAUGCCGCGUGUGUGAAGAAGGCCUUCGGAUUGUAAAGUACUUUCAGCGAGGAGGCGUUACUAGCAGAAGAAGCACCGGCUAACUCCGUGCCAGCAGCCGCGGUAAUUC
rnacentral:rRNA from 1 species